rnacentral:rRNA from 1 species
GUUCCUACGGGACGCAGCAGUAGGGAAUCUUCCACAAUGGGCGAAAGCCUGAUGGAGCAACGCCGCGUGGGUGAAGAAGGUCUUCGGAUCGUAAAGUUCUGUUGAAGGGGAAAAAGAGCGGAGAGAGGAAAUGAACUCCGAUUGAUAUUACCCUUCGAGGAAGUCACGGCUAACUACGUGCCAGCAGCCGCGGUAAUACGUAGGUGGCGAGCGUUAUCCGGAAUGAUUGGGCGUAAAGGGUGCGUAGGCGGCCUGCUAAGUCUGGAGUGAAAGGUACCGGCUCAACCGGUACAGGCUCUGGAAAC